rnacentral:rRNA from 1 species
ACUCCUGCGGGAGGCAGCAGUGGGGAAUUUUGGACAAUGGGCGAAAGCCUGAUCCAGCAAUGCCGCGUGAGUGAAGAAGGCCUUCGGGUUGUAAAGCUCUUUUGUCAGGGAAGAAACGGUGAGAGCUAAUAUCUUUUGCUAAUGACGGUACCUGAAGAAUAAGCACCGGCUAACUACGUGCCAGCAGCCGCGGUAAUACGUAGGGUGCAAGCGUUAAUCGGAAUUACUGGGCGUAAAGCGUGCGCAGGCGGUUUUGUAAGUCUGAUGUGAAAUCCCCGGGCUCAACCUGGGAAUUGCAGUGGAGACUGCAAGGCUAGAAUCUGGCAGAGGGGGGUAGAAUUCCACGUGUAGCAGUGAAAUGCGUAGAUAUGUGGAGGAACACCGAUGGCGAAGGCAGCCCCCUGGGUCAAGAUUGACGCUCAUGCACGAAAGCGUGGGGAGCAAACAGGAUUAGAAACCCGUGUAGUCCCA